GCCGCGCCCGGCCCGCCUCCGGCUGCAACCCCGGGUCCCAUGCUCCCCAGCCGCCCUCUCCAUGCAGGGUUAAGCGGAAGAAGCGGGUAUGCCAGGAAGGCGGCUGUUCGGGGAAGAGCCAGAGGGGGGGAGGUGAUGAGAGUCUGCCUGCGGGGGCCAAGCAGGAGAGGAGUCAGGAUUCGCACCAGGGACCGCAUCCUCCGCAAGUCUUCGGAUGUGGGGAGAGAAGCAGGGUAACAUCACCUUAUAGCCCCUUUGGCUGAUCGGUUAGGGCUCCGGGCACGGGGUUGUGUGAACCUGCCUGCUUGUCAGAGGGAAGAAGGGAAAGGGAGCAUCCUCCGCCAGGGUCACUUCCUGAUGAUUUUCAUUGGAUGUGAAGGGCAUUUCACGAUACAUAAACUGGAAGGUAUUUGCAUGUCUUCAGAUACAGCCAAAAAUUAUAUUUCAGCUAAAAUGGACCGAAUGAAUGAAUGGCUGUUGUUGCCACUCCUAU